GGGGCGGGCAGCUGGCAGGCCAAGCCCGUCUGGUUGCAAUCAGCAGGGAUGUGUGGCUUGGCCAGAGGCCAGGCCGGUGUGUUAAAAGGGGAAGGAGCCGGGGCCGGAGUCGGAGAAGCUGGGAGCAAGCAGGGCAGUCGCCACAUCCUGGAGCUCCACGCAGCAGGAGGAGCAUGAAGCAGGUUCUUGCCUGCCUGCUCCUGGCAGCCGCGGGCUGCGCCGUCAAGCAGAAGCGGCAGCCAGUAGAGCGGGACUAUUGGCCAGAAGCUGAGAAGACGAGCGCCAAGGGCUGCGCCAACCUCACCGUGGUGCUGGACAACUGGAAGUUCGCCAUCCUGUCCCAGAUGAAGAACAUGCUGCUCUUCGACCACCACACCGUGCUGC